rnacentral:rRNA from 1 species
AUAAAUCAUUAAAUAUAAAAGAUUUGGCGGUAUUUUAAAUGUUUAGAGGAACCUGUAUAAUAAUUGAUAAUCCACAAUAAGAUUAACUUAAUUAUUUAUGUAUUGCUGUUUAAAGAUUAUUAUUAAUUAAAUUUUUAAAUUUUUAUUAUAAUUUAAUUCAGGUCAAAAUAUAGUUUAAUUAAGAUAUGGGUUACAAUUUAUUUUUGAAAUUGGAUUUAAUAGUAA